rnacentral:tRNA from 1 species
CAGGGAGACAACAAAAUGUUUAAUAUUAUUAUUUUGUCACCUUAGGUCGAUCGGUAUCUCACAUUCUUAAUUUAUUAAGGAUUUCAUUUCCUAAGUUUUUCUAGGUCACACCCAUUAUUUUCCUGGGCCAUUAGCCCAGGUGGUUAGAGCGCACCCCUGAUAAGGGUGAGGUCCCUGGUUCAAGUCCAGGAUGGCCCAUCUCUCUAUGUUGGGGGUAUAGCUCAGUUGGUAGAGCGCCUGCUUUGCAAGCAGGAUGUCAGCGGUUCGAGCCCGCUUACCUCCACUGAUCACCACCUCUUCCAUAAUCUGUAGAAAGGAAAUAUUUUGUGUUGUGACACAUUCUGAACGAAUCUAGCUUCCUAAUGAAAUCAUUAAGAUGCUGGACUCAUUGAAUUAAUUUCAUUGUUUUCAGAGAACCUUGACAACUACAUAGAUUAUUUUAAAAGACAAUAAGCAUCUUAAUGAUGCGGAUUUAUUAUUUGUGCGAAUGCAUUAACAACAAUUCUAUUAAGCUGAUGCUUCAAUUUUGAAGUUAUU